rnacentral:rRNA from 1 species
GAUGAACGCUGGCGGCGUGCCUAAUACAUGCAAGUCGAGCGAACAGACGAGGAGCUUGCUCCUCUGACGUUAGCGGCGGACGGGUGAGUAACACGUGGAUAACCUACCUAUAAGACUGGGAUAACUUCGGGAAACCGGAGCUAAUACCGGAUAAUAUAUUGAACCGCAUGGUUCAAUAGUGAAAGACGGUUUUGCUGUCACUUAUAGAUGGAUCCGCGCCGCAUUAGCUAGUUGGUAAGGUAACGGCUUACCAAGGCAACGAUGCGUAGCCGACCUGAGAGGGUGAUAGGCCACACGGGAACGUAGACACGGUCCAGACUCCUAAGGGAGGCAGCAGUAGGGAAUCGUCCGCAAUGGGCGAAAGCAUGACGGAGCAACGCCGAGUGAGUGAUGAAGGUCUUCGGAUCGUAAAACUCUGUUAUUAGGGAAGAACAAAUGUGUAAGUAACUAUGCACGUCUUGACGGUACCUAAUCAGAAAGCCACGGCUAACUACGUG